UACGUAGGGAGCAAGCGUUGUCCGGAAUCAUUGGGCGUAAAGCGCGCGUAGGUGGCCUCAUAAGUCCGUUGUGAAAGUCAAAGGCUCAACCUUUGAAAGCCGAUGGAUACUGUGAGACUAGAGUACGGAAGAGGCGAGUGGAAUUCCUGGUGUAGCGGUGGAGUGCGCAGAUAUCAGGAGGAACACCAAUAGCGAAGGCAGCUCGCUGGGACGUUACUGACACUGAGGCGCGAAAGCGUGGGGAGCGAACAGG
rnacentral:rRNA from 1 species